AGAACAAACAAGAUCCCCAUUCUCCUGGCAUCCGUACGAGCUGGUCACAGAGCAUUUUGCUUUGCAACAAAAGACGUUCUUGUUUCAGUCCAGACACACUUGGGACAGGUAAUGCUUUGAAAGGUACUUAUUGCUUUUUUCAACAAACGUUUAUUAAGUACCUACUUGUGCCAAGCUGAAGUUUUGAGUCCCCACCCUCCAAGUCUGGUUUUGGGGACUUCCUCUUUUCAUUCCUCAACCCCCUCGCCUUCCGCACCCUGCUGCGGUUUCCCUGGUGACAGCCCGAGCCCGCCUCAGUGGUCCCACCAGUCCUUGCCUUCUGCCAGGAACGGUUCAAGGUACGCAGAACGCAAUGAUCGUCAAACGCAAGCCAGCUCUGUCCUUGUUAUGGGCUGAAUCGUGUCCUACUCCCUCAAAAGAAAUCCAUAUGUUGAAGCCCUGACCCUCAGUAUCUCAGGAUGAGAUUGUAUUUGGGGCUGGAUUUUUAAAGAGGUGAUUACCUUAAAAUGAGGAUUUAAGUGUGGGCCCUCUUUCAACGGGUGUGUGUCCUUAUAAGAAGAGGAGAUUAGGACACAGACACACACAGAGGGACGACCCCGUGCACGAGCCAAGGAGGCCUCAGGGGAAACCAACACUGCUACACCUUGACCUUGAACUUCCAGCCUCCAGAACUCUGAGAAAACAAAUCCGUGCUGUUGAAGCCUCUCAGCAUGCAGUGCUUUGCUAUGUCAGCCCCUGGAAAAUUCAUACAGCCCAUGUUCCCAUGGGAGUCUUGUGGGACAGAGAUCUUGAUUAAAGAAAAAAAAAAGGGCUGGGUGCAGUGGCUCAUGCCUGUAAUCCCAGCACUUGGGAGGCCGAGGCCAGCAGAUCACUUGAGGUUGGUGGAUCACCUGAGGUCGGGAGUUCGAGACCAGCCUGACCAACAUGGAGAAACCCCUAUCUCUACUAAAAAAAUACAAAAUGAGCCGGGCGUGGUGGUGCAUGCCUGUAAUCCCAGCUACUCGGGAGGCUGAGGCAGGAGAAUCCCUUGAACCUGGGAGGCAGAGGUUGCAGUGAGCCGAGAUCAUGCCACUGCACUCCAGCUGGGGCAACAAGAGAGAAACUCCAUCUCAAAAAAAAAAAAAAAUCUCUAGUACAGUCAGUAAACACACAUAGCGCCUACCGGGCUCCAAACAAUCGCUCCAGCUCCAGUCCCCGACCCUCCCCACGUAACCCUGCUCCCCAGAGGCACCAGCCUUCGCCCAGUCCUUUGGAUGUGCACGCUCGUUCCCACCUCUGAACCUUGGCAGUUUGCCGUUUCCCUCCCCUGUCUCGCUCUCUCUGGAUUUUCCCAGGCCUGGAUUCUUCCUGAUAGGUCAUUCUUGAUAGUCAAAGGUUUGCUGAAAUGUCACCUUCUUAGAGAAAUUCUCCCCACCUCUCCCACAACCACUAUCAUGUCAGCUUGCUUUACAUGUCAAAUGGUGUGUAGUGAGUGACUGCUAUUAGCAAUGACUCUGAUUGAUUUUUGUUCUGGUCGGCUUCUCAUCUGCUGGAAUAGAAGCCCCAUGAGGGCAGGAAUACGUGUCUUUACCCACGUAUUCCCAGUGCCUAGCAAGGUAAAUAUCAAUGGCAUGAAUGAAUGAAUGAAUGAAGAGCUUCUCAGAGCACUCUGAGUCUCUGUUGUCACAGGUAGGUCUCUGAAUUCUACUAAGCUCAUUGCAGGGGAAAUUCAGAGCUUUCUUGAAUCAGGGAGGACUUGGACCACCUCCUUCUCACGCCCCUCUACACACUCACCUGGGCAGGGCAGGUGUGGGCCGGGGUUCCCUCCCUGUGGUCAGGUUGGACUGUACCACCUCUGGGUGUCCUGAGAAUUCCUCCCCACUCUCUUUUGGCCACAUAGCAGCAGGAAACCUCUGUUGGGGAAGGAGCGGUGUGGUUUCUGCUCAUAGUUCCAGGGUUCAGUGGGUAGGGGUGGGGGUUGAUGGGGACAUGUCUAGCCUGAAUCUUUCCUGCUCCAUCCUACGGGAGGGCCUGAGAUCUUCAAUGCGAUGCAAAGGAACAAUGCAGACAGGGAGAGGAGCAGAUGGGGCAGGGGAGGGAUACAGCCCAGCAGGGUCUUCCAACUUGUACAGGAAGCUUAUAAACUGAGGUGGUAUUUUUUUGUUUUUUUGUUUUUUUGACAUGGAGUCUCGCUGUCAUCCAGGUUGAAGUGCAGAGGCAUGAUCUCAGUUCACCACAACCUCCACCUUCUGGGUUCAAGCAAUUCUCCUGCCUCAAACUCCCCAGUAGAUGGGAUUACAGGCACGCACUACCACACCCGGCUCAUUUUUGUAUUUUUAGUAGAGACGGGGUUUCAACGUGUUGGUCAGGCUGGUCUCGAACUCCUGACCUAAAGUGACCUGCCCGCCUUGGCCUCCCAAAGUGCUAGGAUUACAGGCGUGAGCCACUGUGCCCAUCCUGAUGUAGUAUUUUUAGUCCGAGAAAAACACAAUUUUCUAGCAUAAAUUUUCUUUUAAUCUUGAACAAUUGCUCAUAAAGACACAUCCUGAGGGCACACUGACCUCCAGAUUCAUCCAAUGUCUCCAUGGCUGUAAAUCUUGACAUUUUCAACUAAAAACAAGCAAACCUGAUUUUUCCUAAGUGUUUCCAGCUAAAAGAUGUCAAUUGCUACAAUUUAGUUUCCAGAUGAUCUGUCAUUUUGAACAAACUUUAAACUUUAAUAUUGCACUACAUUCUUAAAUGAAACAAAAAAACUGCACAAAUCUUUGCUUGUCACAGCCAUCUAUCAUUUUAUGAAACUGAUGCCUGUCCUUCAUUACUCUGAGGUUAAAAGCUUUUGUUCAGCUUGCCUGAGGUUUGAAAAAGAACUGUACUAGCUUUGCUUACCAUACUUCCUACUUUUCAUAAUAUAUAGUAUUAGACUGUAUUUGAACUGAUUACGAGGGGUAUUUUGUGUUUAUCCAAAUGUAAGGAUCAUUUCUUGUAGUAAUGGGCAAGAUGCCUAUUGCAGAAUGCAUAAGGUUUUUACCACAGUCUAAAAUCAUAAAAGUAAAAAUAUAUUGAUUACAAGUUUUCAGAUUUUUUUCCAGGUUACUCGGAUUUGAUUCAUGGCAAAUACUCUUUAUUUUUGUUUUUUUAAACAGGCUCAUUCCCAAGUAUAUAAAUUGUCAAUGGUGGGAAAAUAUAAAGAAAUUUCUUUUAUGUAAAAAAAAAAAACCAUGAUAAAAAGAGAAUCAGCACUCUGUGUUCAAAAAUUAUUUAUGAUAUUUGUUACAGAUUUAUCUCUCUAAUUAUCAUAAUUGGGUUGCCACUUAAGACAAUCUUUGUUUUAAAAAUGUUGUGUAUUGUUAAAAUGUUAUUACCCUGUGCAAGAAAAUUGUUUGAUCUAUUUAUACCUUCUCUUGUGGUAAAAUUAUUCUUAAAUUGUUGUAUUCCUAUACUCUGAAGACAUUUAAAAUAAGUUUUCGUGCCUGUGUAAGUAGACUCUUCAGAAAUUAAUUGAAGAAUUUGUUGUUUCUUUUGACAAAAUACUUAUGUAAAUAUUGGUAGUAUAAAAAUUUUGCAUACCUUUAAGCAUCAACUCUAUGCAUCCAUGUUGGCAAUGGGCAGUAAACUAUGCAAUCUCACAAAAAGUAUUUGUUGUUUAUCUGAAAUUCGAAUUUUACUGGGCAGCCUGAAUUUUUAUUUGCUCAAUCUGGUGACUUUAAAAAGUGGCAAGAACAGUAUUAAUAAUAGUGGCAAGUGUUUCUUAAAUGCUUGCUAAGUACCAG
rnacentral:lncRNA from 1 species